UACAGAGGUCUCAAGCGUUGUUCGGGAUUCAUUGGGCGUAAAGGGUGCGUAGGCGGCGCGGUAAGUCGGGUGUGAAAUCUCGGAGCUUAACUCCGAAACUGCAUUCGAUACUGCCGUGCUUGAGGACUGGAGAGGAGACUGGAAUUUACGGUGUAGCGGUGAAAUGCGUAGAUAUCGUAAGGAAGACCAGUGGCGAAGGCGGGUCUCUGGACAGUUCCUGACGCUGAGGCGCGAAAGCUAGGGGAGCAAACGGG
rnacentral:rRNA from 1 species